rnacentral:rRNA from 1 species
UACGGGGCGCAGCAGGCGCGAAAACUUCACACUGCAGGAAACUGUGAUGAGGGAACUCCUAGUGCAUGCACUAUGUGUAUGUAGAUCCUACUCUUAACAAGUAGAGGGAAAGGGCUGGGAAAGACCGGUGCCAGCCGCCGCGGUAAUACCGGCAGCUCAAGUGGUCGUCGCUUUUAUUGGGCCUAAAACGUCCGUAGCCUGUUUGGUAAAUCUGUGGGUAAAUCAAUCCGCUCAACGGAUUGAAUUCUGCAGAGACUGCCAGACUAGGGACCGGGAGAGGUGUGGGGUACUCGAGGGGUAGGGGUAAAAUCCUGUCAUCCUUCGAGGACCACCAGUUGCGAAGGCGCCACACUGGAACGGAUCCGACGGUCAGGGACGAAGCCUAGGGGCACGAACCGGAUUAGAUACCCGGGUAGUCCUAGGUGUAAACGCUGUGAACUUGGUGUCGGGGGUCCGCAAGGGGUCCCCGGUGCCGGAGUGAAGAUGUUAAGUUCACUGCCUGGGGAGUACGGUCGCAAGGCUGAAACUUAAAGGAAUUGGCGGGGGAGCACUGCAACGGGAGGAGCGUGCGGUUUAAUUGGAUUCAACGCCGGGA